rnacentral:rRNA from 1 species
UACGAAGGGAGCUAGCGUUGUUCGGAAUCACUGGGCGGAAAGCGCACGUAGGCGGAUGUGUCAGUCAGGGGUGAAAUCCCGGAGCUCAACUUCGGAACUGCCUUUGAUACAGCACAUCUGGAGUCCGGAAGAGGUGGGUGGAAUUCCUAGUGUAGAGGUGAAAUUCGUAGAUAUUAGGAAGAACACCGGUGGCGAAGGCGGCCCACUGGUCCGGUACUGACGCUGAGGUGCGAAAGCGUGGGGAGCAAACAGG